CAUUCGUGUCCUCGUUAGCUCAAUUGGUAGAGCGUCAGACUUUUAAUCUGAAGGUUACGGGAUCGAGACCCGUACGGGGCUAGC